rnacentral:rRNA from 1 species
ACUCCUACGGGAGGCAGCAGUGAGGAAUAUUGCACAAUGGGCGAAAGCCUGAUGCAGCAACGCCGCGUGAGCGAAGAAGGCCUUUGGGUCGUAAAGCUCUGUCCUUGGGGAAGAAAAAAAUGACGGUACCCUUGGAGGAAGCCCCGGCUAACUACGUGCCAGCAGCCGCGGUAAUACGUAGGGGGCGAGCGUUAUCCGGAAUUAUUGGGCGUAAAGAGUGCGUAGGUGGUCUUGUAAGCGUGGGGUGAAAGGCAGUGGCUUAACCAUUGUUAGCCUUGCGAACUGUGAGACUUGAGUGCAGGAGAGGAAAGUGGAAUUCCUAGUGUAGCGGUGAAAUGCGUAGAUAUUAGGAGGAACAUCAGUGGCGAAGGCGACUUUCUGGACUGUAACUGACACUGAGGCACGAAAGCGUGGGGAGCAAACAGGAUUAGAUACCCUGGUAGUC